rnacentral:rRNA from 1 species
GACGAACGCUGGCGGCGUGCUUAACACAUGCAAGUCGAACGGAAAGGCCCUGCUCUUGCGGGGUGCUCGAGUGGCGAACGGGUGAGUAUCACGUGAGUAACCUGCCCUUGACUUUGGGAUAACUUCAGGAAACUGGGGCUCAUACAGGAUAGGAGCUCCUGCUGCAUGGUGGGGGUUGGAAAGAUUCGGCGGUUGGGGAUGGACUCGCGGCUUAUCAGCUUGUUGGUGGGGUAGUGGCUUACCAAGGCUUUGACGGGUAGCCGGCCUUAGAGGGUGACCGGCCACAUUGGGACUGAGAGACGGCCCAGACGCCUACGGGAGGCAGCAGUGGGGAAUAUUGCACAGUGGGCGGAAGCCUGAUGCAGCAACGCCGCGUGCGGGAUGACGGCCUUCGGGUUGUAAACCGCUUUCGCCUGUGACGAAGCGUGAGUGACGGUAAUGGGUAAAGAAGCACCGGCUAACUACGUG